ACCGGCGGCUCGAGUGGUGGCCAAUAUUACUGGGCUUAAAGCGUUCGUAGCUGGCUUGUUAAGUCUCUGGGGAAAUCUCCCGGCUCACAACAAAUGCGUCUCAGGGAUACUGGCAGGCUAGGGACCGGAAGAGGUGAGAGGUACUCCAGGGGUCGGAGUGAAAUCCUGUAAUCCUUGGGGGACCACCUGUGGCGAAGGCGUCUCACCAGGACGGCUCCGACAGUGAGGAACGAAAGCUGGGGGAGCAAACCG
rnacentral:rRNA from 1 species